UACGUAGGGGGCAAGCGUUGUCCGGAAUCACUGGGCGUAAAGGGCGCGUAGGUGGCGACCCAAGUCGAUGGUGAAAGCUCGCCGCUCAACGGCGAGUCGGCCACCGAUACUGGGUUGCUGGAGCACUGUAGAGGCAGAUGGAAUUCCGGGUGUAGCGGUGGAAUGCGUAGAGAUCCGGAAGAACACCGGUGGCGAAGGCGGUCUGCUGGGCAGUUGCUGACACUGAGGCGCGACAGCGUGGGGAGCAAACAGG
rnacentral:rRNA from 1 species